GGGGUCCCAAGUCAAUUUGGCUACUUAAAUACGACACAUAAAUUUAAUUGUGAAAGCUUGAAUCCCUUCCCAUCCAUCUGCCGAAUACGUUGCUGAGUAUAUAAAAAGAUUACUGUCAUUUGCAAUUUUAUGAGUAAAAUUCGCGUCAUCAAUAACUGUGCACAAAGAUACCAAAGGCGCGUCAACAACAUGGCGGAAAAUAGUCGCAAGAUAUCUGCAAGGGUCUGGUGUGUUUAGUACUACAGCACAUGCAAGAUGAGAUUUUCUCCUAUAGUAUGCUGGGGAGAAGAUAACAAAGGCAGUGGCAGAGGAAAGAAUGAAAACAGAUUUUUCUUCUACAGUCAUGAGGGUCAGGAACUAUGGUAGUUCAUGUAGAUUCUGACAAGGCCAUAGAGAAGGAACUGGGGAAAGGUAAGCACUUGCUUAAUAGUUUAAAUGCAAAUUGAUUUUAAUUGGGAAUUGUUAAAUAUUUUCUUCUCAGUGUGGCCUUUUAGGGGUAUUAUACUCAUAUUAGAUUGAUAGAAAUACCCAAUAUAGUGGAAGUCUGCAUACGGAUAUACAGUGGAGCCUCGGUAAUCCGGACGCCAUUAAUUCGGAUGCUUCACCUUCUGGACGAUUUUUUUAGGGAACGGAAUUUUUAUACGUUAUUUUGCAUCAUUAAUCCGGAAAUUCGCGUUCCGGAUCCGGACGGUCAAUUUUUACUACAAAACGUUAAAAUGCAUUGAAAAUUGUACUGUUAAUCCGGACGGUAAUUUUUUUGAGGGAACGUCUGUCGGAUAAUUUUAGCAAGGCAUAAAUUAUAAAAAAAAAAAAACAAAAAAAAAAAGCAAGUCAAACUGUCUAAUUGAAGCGAUUACCUAUACCCCGUCAACACCUCCCUUUAAUUAGGUAUCGUGUGAUGUGUGUCAUGCCGAACCCGUGAAUCGUGACAGAUGGCAAUGGCCGGCCUCUUUAAGAAGUAAAAGUGUGUUGAAAUGUUUGAAGUGUAAAUGAUUGUUAGUUACUAAUGAUUUAUUUAUUUAUAGUUACAUAUAGUGCUUCAUUAUUUGUUUUAGUGCAUACGGUACACAGUUUUGUAUAUUUAUUUGUAGUGCUAAUAUACAUGUACAAUGUAAGUAUAGGCAAAUAAACUGCACACGUAUAUUUCAAUUUUAGAGCUUUGAAAUGUAUUGCUUAUAGGAGUUAUGAGAUUGAUCACUGUUCGUUAUCUUCACCUUUCAUGUAAAUGUUAACAUUAUUAUGAUUUAUUUACUAAUGCAAAUGGUUAAAUCCAAUGAUAGAAUGUGUUUAAUUCACUACACAUCAAUAAAGUAAGCCUAUUGGUUACAUAUGUAAAGAUAAAAAAUAUGUGAUUCAGUUAUCCGG